UGUACCUUUUCAGUGGCUAGGGAAAGUCCCCAUUGACUUAAUUGCUUUUGUAAGACAGGGAACAUUUGCUGUAAAACUGUAAGGUCUUGAUGACAUAACAGCACAUCAUCCAUAUAAUGGAUAGACAGGACCUGCGGGAACUGUCUUUUAACUGGGGCAAGUGCCUGAUCAACAAAGAGCUGACAGAUGGUUGGACUAUUGGCCAUUCCCUGAGGCAAAACUUUCCAUUGGUAUCUCUUAUCUGGUUCUGCAUGAUUUAAAGAAGGUACCGUAAAGGCAAAACGCGGGCGAUCAACGGGAUGUAAGGGUAUGGAGAAAAAACAGUCCUUAAUAUCUAUGAUCAGAAGGGGCCACCCUUUUGGCAGGGCAGUGAGUAGAGGCAAUCCUCGCUGGACCGGACCCAAUAGUAACAUUUGUGCAUUAAUGGCCCUUAGGUCAUGCAACAAGCGCCAUUUUCCCGAUUUCUUUUUGAUAACAAAAAUCGGAGUAUUCCAAGGCGAAGUGGAUGGUUCUAUAUGACCAAGGCAAAGCUGUUCUGUGCCCUGGCUUUCCACAAUUAAAACAGAGCCUCCGAUCCUUGAAGCCCGUCGGCUUUCUUUGUGAUUGAAGAAUGGCAGCCGCCAAGCCUGCAUUAGUAAGCGGUCCUCCGAGUUCUCUGCAUACCCUGAGCCAAUCAUCUAAACCUUUUCCUUUCCUAGGGGCAAUUGCUGUUUUACAUUCUUGUGUAGCCUGCUCGAAGAUGAGCUGUUCUAUCAACGGCUUAACCUGCUCUGUAUCUCCAAAAAUUCUUCCUGCCGCUUCCGUCAUUCUUGCCACAAAAUCGGAAAACGGCUCCUGAGGUUGUUGUAUAAUCUUGUCUCCAAGGUAGUUAAUAUGGAUUGAGAGGACCCCAUGGUGGCUGCAGCUUACCUACGUCUGACUAAUCACCACCGUUACCAAUGGUACAGAUGCUCGCGGCUUAUCUACGUCCGUCUUACAGCAAAUGGGGAAAAACGAAAGCAAAGGACAGAAGAGACUGUUCAGGCCCCUUUAUCUACAGGAGGCUUAGGUGACCAGUAUAAAGAAGACAAGAACAAUACCAAGGAGGACGAUUGCUUCAGGCAAACCCUCCCAAGGCGGAGACAACCCCAGACCAAAGUCCCAGAUCAGCAUACCUCUCCGAACUUACCUGCCUGCAGUUCUGAAUCCUCCUCGUUUCCAAGGGGUCUUCGAUGGUGCGGACGAUGGCUUGGUCAGUUUUAUUCCCGGGUUUCGGCACCAGUUGUCCCGCGCUCUAUCUCGCCCGCAAGAAUGACGCGGCACACGAUCAGGAUCCUUCUGCAGUAAGCUUUAUUGCCCCUGAGAGGGGGAGCAUAAGCUAUCACAAA